AGGAAAAGAAACCAACAGGGAUUGCCCUAGUAACGGCGAGUGAAGCGGCAACAGCUCAAAUUUGAAAUCUGGCGCAAGCCCGAGUUGUAAUUUGUAGAGGAUGCUUCUUGGCAGCGGCCCGUCUAAGUUCCUUGGAACAGGACGUCAUAGAGGGUGAGAAUCCCGUAUGUGACCGGCGCGCACCCUCCACGUAGCUCCUUCGACGAGUCGAGUUGUUUGGGAAUGCAGCUCUAAAUGGGAGGUAAAUUUCUUCUAAAGCUAAAUACCGGCCAGAGACCGAUAGCGCACAAGUAGAGUGAUCGAAAGAUGAAAAGCACUUUGGAAAGAGAGUUAAAAAGCACGUGAAAUUGUUGAAAGGGAAGCGCUUGCAACCAGACUUCGCGCGGUGUUCCGCCGGUCUUUUGACCGGUCUACUCGCCGCCGCGAGGCCAACAUCGUCUGGGGCCGCCGGAUAAGACCAUGGGAAUGUGGCUCCCUGGGAGUGUAUAGCCCACGUGUGGGCGUGUCCCGGCGAGGUCCGCGCUUCGGCAAGGAUGUGGGGUAAUGGUUGCAGCGGCCCGUCUUGAAACACGGACCAAGGAGUCUAACAUCUAUGCGAGUGUUCGGGUGUCAAACCCCUACGCGUAAUGAAAGUGAACGGAGGUGGGAAGCUUCGGCGCACCAUCGACCGAUCCUGAUGUCCUGGGAUGGAUUUGAGUAAGAGCAUAGCUGUUGGGACCCGAAAGAUGGUGAACUAUGCCUGAAUAGGGUGAAGCCAGAGGAAACUCUGGUGGAGGCUCGCAGCGGUUCUGACGUGCAAAUCGAUCGUCAAAUUUGGGUAUAGGGGCGAAAGACUAAUCGAACCAU
rnacentral:rRNA from 1 species